rnacentral:lncRNA from 1 species
GCUCGGGCCGGGAGCCGGAGGCAGAGGAGGGCGCGGCGCCCCGCGGAGUUGCUGGCAGGGCUGGCGCAGAGCCGGGCCCCCGCGUCCCGCGCGGUGAGCCGCCGAGACAAUAAAGUAGCGGUCGGCAGCCCCCGAGCGCCCGAGGGAGGCGGCGGCGCGGCAGCAGUUACGGAUCGGGAGGUUCUGCAAGAAUUCUGGAUUCCAGGUUUCUUUGAAACGUUCAGAAGCUCUGACAGCAC